GACGAACGCUGGCGGCGUGCCUAAUACAUGCAAGUAGAACGCUGAAGGAGGAGCUUGCUUCUCUGGAUGAGUUGCGAACGGGUGAGUAACGCGUAGGUAACCUGCCUGGUAGCGGGGGAUAACUAUUGGAAACGAUAGCUAAUACCGCAUAAUAGCAGUUAUUGCAUGAUAACUGUUUGAAAGGUGCAAUUGCACCACUACCAGAUGGACCUGCGUUGUAUUAGCUAGUUGGUGGGGUAACGGCUCACCAAGGCGACGAUACAUAGCCGACCUGAGAGGGUGAUCGGCCACACUGGGACUGAGACACGGCCCAGACUCCUACGGGAGGCAGCAGUAGGGAAUCUUCGGCAAUGGACGGAAGUCUGAUCGAGCAACGCCGCGUGAGUGAAGAAGGGUUUCGGAUCGUAAAGCUCUGUUGUAAGAGAAGAACGAGUGUGAGAGUGGAAAGUUCACACUGUGACGGUAUCUUACCAGAAAGGGACGGCUAACUACGUG
rnacentral:rRNA from 1 species